ensembl:lncRNA
GCAAAGGACAGUUUACAAAGAUGUGAAUCUGAAUGACAUCUAGGAAUGUUCAUUAUAAACAAUAAGUUCAACUUUCAAAUGAUUCUGGUUUUGUAGGAAUCUUUCCAAGAAAGUUGGUUAAAAUGAUGUGUCUGCCUGUGAGGCCAGUUCUAUGGAAAACAAACACACCCCGAGUUCUUUAUUGAUGGCUUUAGUGGAGGCAGAGCAGUACGUUCAAAACAAGUGGGAGGCCCUGAGAUCGCAGGAAUGGAAACAGAGUUCUGGCUGGGGGGUGGCCUGUCCACUGCCCACCCCUUCCCGGAGAUGCACUCCUUUCUGGCUUUCUGGGGAGGGAGCAACCUUGCUCAGUGGUGGGAGCAGCUUGAAUGGGACCUAAUCAACACCCAGGAAGACUGUGCACAGAGGGCAGUUGGUCUCUAGCCUUCAUGGUGGUGGUGGGCAGGCGCCUGCCUGAUGUAGACUACAUUUGAUGCAAAACAUCAAGUAAAGGGUGGAGCAUAAUACAGUGAAUAUGCCUCCCAGAAACAUCAUCCUCUGCCCAUUUUAACAGGGCUCUUUAUCUUUAGAAAAGUCUCCUUCUCUAUAGAAACCAGGGACAAUUUUGGAUGAGAGCCAACCACAGGACAUGCUGGGGACCUUAUGGGGGGACCUCACGUGUGGCCAGGUGCACCUUUGGGAAGAAGGCAGAUGUGAUGUGACUUAGCACAGGCACUCGAAAGAGGGAGCCAGCCACUGGUCUUUGCUAAUAUCCAGAAGCGGAUUGUUUGUUCCAUUCAUCUUUCUAGAAGUUAAAUUAUUUCAUUGCCUUGAGACGUCACUAGAUCUUGAAGCACUUGCAAACUAGAAGCUUGCAAGAUCAAUGUCCAUAUAUAUUUUUAAAUGAUAUGCAUGGUUUAAAAGGACCCUAAUUUCUGAGUACAUGGCUUCCCCAAAGAAACAGUAUAUAUUCUGGAGAUGAUGGGGGUUUCGGCAUGGAGAGGGACUCCUGUCUAGUCUAGAAAUGUGUGUUACUUACAUGUCUCUUCCAUGUACCUAUCUCAAGAAUAUUUCUAGUUUGGCUUUAAACACUACCCAGGCAGGAAGGUGGCUUUGGUAAGAAUUUUGAAGUGGAUGAAAUGUUCUAGUGAACUUAGGACAGCGUGCGUGUGCUUGUGUGUGUGUGUGAAGAAAUAGCAAAAGGGGAAGUGGGAGAAACAGUAAGGAAGAGUUUUCAAUUAAAAAUAUAUAUGUCUAAGAGGAGACUUUAUUUUCUGUUUCUGGUGGUCAUGUUCUAUGUUCUAGAAUCCAUUUCCCAGAAGAAGAGUUUGUAGGUCUUUGGUUUGAAGUGGAAUUGUGCAGUGCCCUACUCUCUUUGACAGUGCACAGUCUUGCGGCAAAGUGGUCUCCCAGGCCCCAGAGACCCCCCGGGCACCUGGCAGGAGCCGACAAACCACGGCAGAGUCCCAAGUGGUGUGUGUUUUGGCGAGUGAUGGGCAGGACUGAUGAUUCACAGCUGUGGGACUGUGCUAUUGUUUUUACCCUCUUGUACUGCUUCUAAUAAAAGUCUCGACUUUACAUGAGUUGUGAGAGCAGCGUCUUACGAUGUGACAGGCAAGAAGACAUUCCCCGCAUCAAAUGUAAGAGUUUAAUGAUAAGAGUGGAGUGGAUAAGUGAAUUCUCCCAAGAGUACUGUUUUUUGUUUCCCUUUUAAAAUGCUUUUGUGGUACAUAAAUAAUAUAAUACUUUUUUUAAAGAAAUUCCAGAUGAGUAAAAAAAAAAAAAA